UUGUAAUUAACUAUUUUACGAAAAACAAUAUUAGUUUACAAAAAUCUCACGAGACAAAUUGUAAAAUUUUGUUAAACCAUUUCAUUUUUUGUAAUAAAGUAAUUUUACUUUGUAAUAUAACCAAGUAACCAUAGAAUACCCCACAUAAAGAUAUUUUUAAUAAAGAGGGGUCAAUUGACAUCUCCCCCCCAUUUUACAAGCCGCAUUCGCCACUGAUAUCAAUUGUCAUCUCAAAGUUUGCAUUAGAGUUAAAGCAUUAUUUGUUGUUCAUUCUGUCUUUGUUCAUAACCUUCUAUUGUCAGUUAUUAUCAAUUGUGAAAUUUUGCAUGACAACAUGGGCUAUUGAAACUAGAGAUUGGACCACUAUGGUAUGAGACUGAUUCAUAGUUGUUCCUUCAAUGAAAAUGGAUAACUCAUGAGCUUAUUCACUUCAUGGAAUGCAGACUGAUAGUUCAUCUGAUUCCAAUAUUGGUAUUAUUGAGCUGCUAUAAUUCAAACUUGUUUUCCACAAGGAAUAA
rnacentral:misc_RNA from 1 species